AACGCAAAUGGCGCCAUGCAAACAAUGCACGGCAUGACUGUUUGAGUGUGGUUUAGAUGUUACUACCAUGGUAGUAGACAUGGCCGUGACAAGGUCUCGGCUCAGAUUCAUUUGUGCUGCGCCAGCGUGGCAGUGUGCUAGUGGGCGACUGUCCAAGGUCACUGUCUGUUGGUGCAUUUGAGCACAGAGUACACACGUGCACAUGUACACAUGUACACACGUACACAUACAUCACGUACACAUACUUACGCCUCAAAUCAGUCAGGGCUACCCGCUGAACUUAA
rnacentral:misc_RNA from 1 species